rnacentral:rRNA from 1 species
CCUACGGGCGGCAGCAGUGGGGAAUAUUGCACAAUGGGGGAAACCCUGAUGCAGCGACGCCGCGUGAGCGAGGAAGUAUUUCGGUACGUAAAGCUCUAUCAGCAGGGACGAAAAAAGACGGUACCUGACUAAGAAGCCCCGGCUAACUACGUGCCAGCAGCCGCGGCAAUACGUAGGGGGCAAGCGUUAUUCGGAUUUACUGGGGGUAAAGGGAGCGUAGACGGGCAAGCAAGCCAGAAGUGAAAGGGCAGGGCUCAACCCUGUACAUGCUUUUGGAACUGGGGUGCUAGAGUGCAGAAGAGGAGAGUGGAAUUCCUAGUGUAGCGGUGAAAUGCGUAGAUAUUAGGAGGAACACCAGUGGCGAAGGCGGCUUACUGGACUGUAACUGACGUUGAGGCUCGAAAGCGUGGGGAGCAAACAGGAUUAGAUACCCUUGUAGUC